AAAUAAUUGAAGAGAAUUCAGCUUCGUUCUGUUGUAAUUAUAUAUAAUUAUUUUCUGUGAAAACAAUACAAAAUUUGAUUAAUUUCUUGGCAAUAUUAUUGUUGUGCUUUCAGGAUCAGGGCAUAGACCACAGAAUGCUGGAUUUGCUCCUAGAUUCGUCUUCGUCCGAGGACGAAGAUAUCCUGACAAUUUUCAAUUGGACGACUUCGACGAUUGUUCAAGCUAAUGCAUUUUUAUCCAGGAAUGAAAGAAAUGCCAUUAAAAAUUUUGAAAACGUUGUAGAAAGAUAUACGGACACCAGACCGGUAGCAGCUAAUGAAAUUGAAUUCAAAACAAUAGACGAGAGGCGGGAUUAUUACUGUAAAUAUUUUAGUAUGCUUCUGACAGCUGCUACACUAAUACACUUACAAAAAGAUAUUGCUACGUUUUUUCUUUCCAUUGGAUCAAAAAAAUAUUGAUUUUUAGUAGCGACGGGCCGUCUAUUUGAUGUGGUUCAAUGGAAAUCGACAUAAGU